rnacentral:rRNA from 1 species
AUGGCUCCUGCAGAGGCGCCAACAGAUGGAGACAAGAAAAAAAGAGUCGCAAUCGGCGCUCCUUACACGUGGAUCAUGGAGAACUUCGCGCAUUGCCCUGAGGACGCUAAUGAUGAUGUAAUCUAGACGUAUGCUCGCGUGUACAUGUGGUAUGUUAUCUCUAGGACUCUCUUUGCUGGCGGCGGUGGCAAGACCGCUCAAUGGAUGUGGGUCAAGGCGUUGACUGUCCUUGACUCCCUACGGGUGAGCGGGUGA